GUGAUGUCUGCUCUGAGGCUCAGCAGAGUCACACGAGAGCUCAAUGUCCCCUGACACUUGACAUGAAUAAUUCACAGCUUUGCGAUGGCGGCGCCUUUUGGCCCUGGUUUGGCAGACGUCCCUCGUGUCUGAGCGUCCAAUCCUUGGGAAUUGUUGGGGGUCCUAGAUUCUCACCCCUCUGGAGCUCUCUAGCGCCUCCCACAGGAGGCUUGUCCAGAUUCAUCAGGAUGUGGGUGGACCCUCCCCCUUUCCUUUACUCUUAUUUCACAUAUAAUUUGGUAGUUUCGAUUGCCUGUACUGUAGCCAGUAAACUCCCUGCAGUCAAGGACAGUUUAUAUUUGUCUUUUCUAUUUGUCCGUAUUUGCCAAGGCUUAGCCCAGUGUGUGGCACAUAGUAGGAAUUUUGUAAAGAAAAUCAUUAUUUGAAGAAUUUGAAUUAUUUUAAAUUAAUUCAUUGAAGAAAUGAAAAAUGGAGAGUGGACGUGGAUGGAAAGACUGGGUCUCAGCGGAAGAGAAUGGAAGGGAUGGACAUGAAAAGGAAGGUCUAUGAUGGAUAUUGGUGAAAAGACUGGAUCUCAGUGGAAGAGAGUGGAAGGGAUGGACAUGGAAAAGAAGGUCUGUGAUGGAUGUGGGUGAAAAGACUGGAUCUCAGUGGAAGAGAAUGGAAGGGAUGGACAUGGAAAGGAAAGUCUGUGAUGGAUGUGGAUGAAAAGACUGGAGCUCAGUGGAAGAGUGGAAGGAAUGGACAUGGAAAGGAAGGUCUGUGGAGGAUGUGGAUGAAAAGACUGGAGCUCAGUGGAAGAGAAUGGAAGGGAUGGACAGGGAAAGGAAGGUCUGUGAUGGAUGUGGGUGAAAAGACUGGAGCUCAGUGGAAGAGAGUGGAAGGGAUGGACAUGGAAAGGAAGGUCUGUGGAGGAUGUGGAUGAAAAGACUGGCUCUCGGUGAAAGAGAAUGGAAGGGAUGGACAUGGAAAGGAAGGUCUGUGGAGGAUGUGGAUGAAAAGACUGGAGCUCAGUGGAAGAGAAUGGAAGGGAUGGACAUGGAAAGGAAGGUCUGUGGAGGAUGUGGAUGAAAAGACUGGAGCUCAGUGGAAGAGAAUGGAAGGGAUGGACAGGGAAAGGAAGGUCUGUGAUGGAUGUGGGUGAAAAGACUGGAGCUCAGUGGAAGAGAGUGGAAGGGAUGGACAUGGAAAGGAAGGUCUGUGGAGGAUGUGGAUGAAAAGACUGGCUCUCGGUGAAAGAGAAUGGAAGGGAUGGACAUGGAAAGGAAGGUCUGUGGAGGAUGUGGAUGAAAAGACUGGAGCUCAGUGGAAGAGAAUGGAAGGGAUGGACAUGGAAAGGAAGGUCUGCGAUGGAUGUGGGUGAAAAGACUGGAUCUCAGUGGAAGAGAAUGGAAGGGAUGGACAUGGAAAGGUCUGUGAUGAUAGAAGGAAAAUGUCUUCAUUUGAGGGGAUAGAAAACAGACCUAAGACAUUUCCCAGAAGACAUGUUCUGAAUCCUGGGACCUUUCCCUAAGGCUGGCCUCCCGCCCCUGGGUCUCCUGGGAUGCCUCCGUGUGUUGGUGACACCACGUGUGUGUUGGGAA